CCUCCUUGGCCAGGUGUCCACCCUGCAGGUCUUCCCUCCACUAGUCUCCCUGUUGUCUGCAGGAGGUGACCUGGGCCUGUAUGGUGACUUCCAGGGUGUCAUCUGAUGCCAUCUCCAGAUCUGGCUGUUGCUACCUGGAGAUGGCAUCAGAUGACACCCUGGAAGUCACCAUACAGGCCCAGGUCACCUCUUGCAGACAACAGGGAGACUAAUGGAGGGAAGACCUGCAGGGUGGACACCUGGCCAAGGAGGACAUGGCAGGUGAGGAGGACAGCGCCAAGGUAGACAGGGUCAGGUGAGGGUAGGGCCAGGUAGCAGGACAAGGCCUGGCAAAAGCUGGGCCAGUAGGGGAGCAGGGCUGGGUAAGAAACAGGGCAGGUGAGGAGGACAGGGCUGUCCGAGGGUAGGGUCAGGCCAGGAGACAAGGCUGGGUGAGGACAGGACAGGUGAAGGCAGGACUGAGGAGGGCAGGGCCAGGUGAUGGCAG
rnacentral:lncRNA from 1 species